rnacentral:rRNA from 1 species
UUAGAUGCGAGAGUAGAGCAUAUCAAUAAGCGGAGGAAAAGAAACUAACAAGGAUUCCCUUAGUAACGGCGAGUGAAGCGGGAAGAGCUCAAAUUUGAAAUCUUCAAGGUUUCACCUUGACGAAUUGUAGUUUAAAGAAGUGUUUUCUGUUGAAGUUUUGGUAAAAGUUCUUUGGAAUAGGACAUCAUAGAGGGUGAGAAUCCCGUAUUUGACCAUUAUUUUCAGCUGUGUGAUACACUUUCAAAGAGUCGGAUUGUUUGGGAAUGCAGUCCAAAAUGGGUGGUAAAUUUCAUCUAAAGCUAAAUAUUGGCGAGAGACCGAUAGCGAACAAGUACCGUGAGGGAAAGAUGAAAAGAACUUUGAAAAGAGAGUUAAACAGUACGUGAAAUUGUCAAAAGGGAAGCGUUUGACGCCAGUGUUGUUUUCUCGAAAAUCAAUUAAAAGCGGAUGUUUUGUUUGUAAUAAGUUAUGACUUCAUCGCUUUCUUCUUUCUUUACUUUCUUAAUGCACUUUUCGUUUAACAAGUCAACAUCCAGUUUCUUUUGUUGUAAAAGGGUCAUGAGGAAGGUGGCUUUCUUUUCGGAGAAAGUGUUUAUAGCCUUGUGCCUCUGCAAUCGGAGAGAUUGAGGUCUGCAGCGUAGAUCCUUCGGGGUUAGAUACGUUUGUGCUAAGUUAUAGCUUUUCAUAGACAACUUGUUGACUAUGUUUAGUCUUGUAGCUUACUCGCUGAUGCUAUUUUACCUACGCUUAGGAUGUUGACGCGCGUGUGUGCGUG